rnacentral:rRNA from 1 species
GACGAACGCUGGCGGCGUGCCUAACACAUGCAAGUCGAGCGCAGGAAACUGACGGAACUCUUCGGAGGGAAGGCAGUGGAAUGAGCGGCGGACGGGUGAGUAACACGUAAGGAACCUGCCUCAAGGAUUGGGAUAACUCCGAGAAAUCGGAGCUAAUACCGGAUAGUUCAUCGGACCGCAUGGUCCGCUGAUGAAAGGCGCUUCGGCGUCACCUUGAGAUGGCCUUGCGGUGCAUUAGCUAGUUGGUGGGGUAACGGCCCACCAAGGCGACGAUGCAUAGCAGACCGGAGAGGGUGAUCGGCAACAAUGGGACGGGGACACGGCCCAGACUCCGACGGGAGGCAGCAGAAGGGAAUCGUCCACAAUGGACGAAAGUCUGAUGGAGCAACGCCGCGUGAGUGAUGAAGGUUUUCGGAUCGUAAAACUCUGUUGUAAGGGAAGAACACGUACGAGAGGAAAUGCUCGUACCUUGACGGUACCUUACGAGAAAGCCACGGCUAACUACGUGCCAGCCGCCGCCGUAACAC